UACGGAGGAUGCGAGCGUUAUCCGGAUUUAUUGGGUUUAAAGGGUGCGCAGGCGGCCUUUUAAGUCAGUGGUGAAAUCCCGAAGCUUAACUUCGGACUUGCCAUUGAAACUGGGAGGCUUGAGUGUAGAUGAAGUAGGCGGAAUUCGUUGUGUAGCGGUGACAUGCUUAGAUAUAACGAGGAACUCCAAUUGCGUAGGCAGCUUACUAAACUAUAACUGACGCUCAUGCACGAAAGCGUGGGGAUCAAACAGG
rnacentral:rRNA from 1 species